AGUGAACGCUGGCGGUAGGCCUAACACAUGCAAGUCGAACGGCAGCACAGUAAGAGCUUGCUCUUACGGGUGGCGAGUGGCGGACGGGUGAGGAAUACAUCGGAAUCUACUUUUUCGUGGGGGAUAACGUAGGGAAACUUACGCUAAUACCGCAUACGACCUACGGGUGAAAGCAGGGGAUCUUCGGACCUUGCGCGAUUGAAUGAGCCGAUGUCGGAUUAGCUAGUUGGCGGGGUAAAGGCCCACCAAGGCGGCGAUCCGUAGCUGGUCUGAGAGGAUGAUAGCCACACUGGAACUGAGACACGGUCCAGACUCCUACGGGAGGCAGCAGUGGGGAAUAUUGGACAAUGGGCGCAAGCCUGAUCCAGCCAUACCGCGUGGGUGAAGAAGGCCUUCGGGUUGUAAAGCCCUUUUGUUGGGAAAGAAAAGCAGCAGGUUAAUACCCCGCUGUUCUGACGGUACCCAAAGAAUAAGCACCGGCUAACUUCGUG
rnacentral:rRNA from 1 species